AAAUUGAAGAGUUUGAUCAUGGCUCAGAUUGAACGCUGGCGGCAGGCCUAACACAUGCAAGUCGAACGGUAACAGGAAACAGCUUGCUGUUUCGCUGACGAGUGGCGGACGGGUGAGUAAUGUCUGGGAAACUGCCUGAUGGAGGGGGAUAACUACUGGAAACGGUAGCUAAUACCGCAUAACGUCGCAAGACCAAAGAGGGGGACCUUCGGGCCUCUUGCCAUCNNNUGUGCCCAGAUGGGAUUAGCUAGUAGGUGGGGUAACGGCUCACCUAGGCGACGAUCCCUAGCUGGUCUGAGAGGAUGACCAGCCACACUGGAACUGAGACACGGUCCAGACUCCUACGGGAGGCAGCAGUGGGGAAUAUUGCACAAUGGGCGCAAGCCUGAUGCAGCCAUGCCGCGUGUAUGAAGAAGGCCUUCGGGUUGUAAAGUACUUUCAGCGGGGAGGAAGGGAGUAAAGUUAAUACCUUUGCUCAUUGACGUUACCCGCAGAAGAAGCACCGGCUAACUCCGUGCCAGCAGCCGCGGUAAUACGGAGGGUGCAAGCGUUAAUCGGAAUUACUGGGCGUAAAGCGCACGCAGGCGGUUUGUUAAGUCAGAUGUGAAAUCCCCGGGCUCAACCUGGGAACUGCAUCUGAUACUGGCAAGCUUGAGUCUCGUAGAGGGGGGUAGAAUUCCAGGUGUAGCGGUGAAAUGCGUAGAGAUCUGGAGGAAUACCGGUGGCGAAGGCGGCCCCCUGGACGAAGACUGACGCUCAGGUGCGAAAGCGUGGGGAGCAAACAGGAUUAGAUACCCUGGUAGUCCACGCCGUAAACGAUGUCGACUUGGAGGUUGUGCCCUUGAGGCGUGGCUUCCGGAGCUAACGCGUUAAGUCGACCGCCUGGGGAGUACGGCCGCAAGGUUAAAACUCAAAUGAAUUGACGGGGGCCCGCACAAGCGGUGGAGCAUGUGGUUUAAUUCGAUGCAACGCGAAGAACCUUACCUGGUCUUGACAUCCACGGAAGUUUUCAGAGAUGAGAAUGUGCCUUCGGGAACCGUGAGACAGGUGCUGCAUGGCUGUCGUCAGCUCGUGUUGUGAAAUGUUGGGUUAAGUCCCGCAACGAGCGCAACCCUUAUCCUUUGUUGCCAGCGGUCCGGCCGGGAACUCAAAGGAGACUGCCAGUGAUAAACUGGAGGAAGGUGGGGAUGACGUCAAGUCAUCAUGGCCCUUACGACCAGGGCUACACACGUGCUACAAUGGCGCAUACAAAGAGAAGCGACCUCGCGAGAGCAAGCGGACCUCAUAAAGUGCGUCGUAGUCCGGAUUGGAGUCUGCAACUCGACUCCAUGAAGUCGGAAUCGCUAGUAAUCGUGGAUCAGAAUGCCACGGUGAAUACGUUCCCGGGCCUUGUACACACCGCCCGUCACACCAUGGGAGUGGGUUGCAAAAGAAGUAGGUAGCUUAACCUUCGGGAGGGCGCUUACCACUUUGUGAUUCAUGACUGGGGUGAAGUCGUAACAAGGUAACCGUAGGGGAACCUGCGGUUGGAUCACCUCCUUA
rnacentral:rRNA from 1 species